rnacentral:rRNA from 1 species
GAUGAACGCUAGCGGCAGGCCUAAUACAUGCAAGUCGAGGGGCAACGCGGACUUCGGUCUGGCGGCGACCGGCGAAUGGGUGCGUAACGCGUAUGCAACCUACCUUCAGCAGGGGGAUAGCCCGUGGAAACAUGGAUUAAUACCCCAUAACGCAGGGGUCUCGCAUGGGACUAUUUGCUAAAGAUUUAUUGGCUGGAGAUGGGCAUGCGUCUGAUUAGUUAGUUGGUGAGGUAACGGCUCACCAAGGCGAUGAUCAGUAGGGGUUCUGAGAGGAUGAUCCCCCACACUGGUACUGAGACACGGACCAGACUCCUACGGGAGGCAGCAGUAGGGAAUAUUGGGCAAUGGGCGAGAGCCUGACCCAGCCAUGCCGCGUGCAGGAAGACGGCCUUCUGGGUUGUAAACUGCUUUUAUCAGGGAAGAAAGAGGCACUGCGGAGCCAGUUGACUGUACCUGAAGAAUAAGCACCGGCUAACUCCGUGCCAGCAGCCGCGGUAAUACGGAGGGUGCAAGCGUUGUCCGGAUUUAUUGGGUUUAAAGGGUGCGUAGGCGGAUUAUUAAGUCAGUGGUGAAAGUCUGUGGCUCAACCGCAGGAGUGCCAUUGAUACUGGUAGUC